ensembl:lncRNA
UGUGGUUUGCUGUAACUUAAAUUGCUGAAGAAGAGCUGGUUCUGAAAGGUGUCAGGAAAGUCAGUGCAAUUGUUACUAAUUGUGUAUAGGGCGACUUACUUAGUGAGGUAGUGAUGACAAAACUAAAACUACCCACAUCAGGCACAUGUCCACAAUAUUCUGUGUAUGUAAGCUACAGUGCAGUGAUCAGUAGGUCUGCUCUCAGCCCCCCUCUGGGCAGUUAAUACACGAUCAUUCUGUAACAGUCCAAUGACCCACAGUUGAACUCUGUAAACCAAAGUGUGAUGGGUUGCCACAUCUCCCCCUUAGCAACCCCUGCAGCGUAACCAGAUGUACCAAUAUCCCAGAAAGCAAUGUGAACUAUUGGAUUUGGAGGAAGCAAGGGAGGGGCAGUUGGUCCGUGUACUAAAACAAGGGUAAAUGAGUUUAAGUGUACGAAUGGACUGACACUAGCAGCACACCAUGUUUAUUCUGUUUUCUUUCAACGUUUCUGUCAUCGUCAUCCAUUUGUUUCAUUUUUCUUAGCUCGCAGAAAGCAGGCUGUUUUAUUAAAUAUUUGAUUUGAGCUGAAAAUGCUCCAAGAUGAAUUGAAUGUGCAUACUCCAUUUACAUUUUCUGUUCAGUUUCCUGCCGUUUGCACCAUGCUUUUACUAAUGCCUCCUUCUGUGUUUUUGCUUUGGCAUGCCAGAUUGAGCCAAGCUUCAUUGUGACCUGUGAAAAUCCUAUAUAAAUGGUUAAUCUAAUGGAGUUGCUUUAGUUGUAUUGCUAAUCAGUGUAAAUUCAUAAAUAAAUCAGUAUUUUAAACUAUUUAUGUUUUUCAUUUUCCUUAUUGCCACUGUCCAUUUCAACACCUUUUUCGUUCAACAUAACCCAUAUUAUUUUUGUUUGAUCCAUUAUCAGUUUACAGAAUAUUCCAAUGACUAAAGCUGAAGCAUUUUACUUUGAAAUGCACAGCUGAAAUAUAUAUUUUUUAUAUUUGGUGCCUUUUGUUAUUAAGGUGCGUGUUA